ACUUGCCUUGCUAUUCCUGUUCAUAGGGUGU
rnacentral:piRNA from 1 species